rfam:Lingula anatina scaffold983, whole genome shotgun sequence.
CGCUCGGUAGUUCAGUAGGUAAGAGCGGUCGCGCGGUUUGCGAGAGUCCCGGGUUCGAUUCUCGGUCGAGCCU